rnacentral:rRNA from 1 species
AACGAACGCUGGCGGCAGGCCUAACACAUGCAAGUCGAGCGAGACCUUCGGGUCUAGCGGCGGACGGGUGAGUAACGCGUGGGAACGUGCCCUUUGCUACGGAAUAGCCCCGGGAAACUGGGAGUAAUACCGUAUGUGCCCUUCGGGGGAAAGAUUUAUCGGCAAAGGAUCGGCCCGCGUUGGAUUAGGUAGUUGGUGGGGUAAUGGCCUACCAAGCCGACGAUCCAUAGCUGGUUUGAGAGGAUGAUCAGCCACACUGGGACUGAGACACGGCCCAGACUCCUACGGGAGGCAGCAGUGGGGAAUCUUAGACAAUGGGGGAAACCCUGAUCUAGCCAUGCCGCGUGAGUGAUGAAGGCCUUAGGGUUGUAAAGCUCUUUCAGGUGGGAAGAUAAUGACGGUACCACCAGAAGAAGCCCCGGCUAACUCCGUGCCAGCAGCCGCGGUAA